GAGGGUGUAGCUCAAGUGGCAGAGCACAUGCUCAGCAUGCACGAGGUCCUGGGUUCAAUCCCCAGUACCUCCU
rnacentral:tRNA from 1 species